rnacentral:lncRNA from 1 species
CCUAUAUCAUGUAUAAGAAAAGAUGAUUUUUUUACACCCAUAGGGAAAUUAUAGAGAAUAGUGAAUAUAAUAAACUAUAACAAUUAAAUGCAGGUCGUAACACAAAUUUUGUUUGCUUGCUACAAGUGUUCUCCCUUUUUUUCUGGUCAAACUAACGAUCUUGUGCCUUGUUCAAAAAAGCUAAUAAAGAGAUAUUAUUUAGAUUUUUUAAUUCUGUAUAAGUUUAAUCACGUGAUAUUGACCCACUAUUCCAAACCAGUUAGCUUAUUGACUAGUCCAACUGCUACAAACACCGAACGUGGCCCAUGGCAGUAUGCAACGACAGGCAUAACUCAUGCAUUACCUACUGCUUUAUUUAUAUCAAUUAGAUAUUCUACAAGAUGUUGGAAAAUGGACGAUGGUUAUAUCCAAUAAGAGGGUUGACAGAGAUGGUAAUGACAUAAUAUGAUAAUAGGUCUAAUGAAGGGGAGACGAGCCUAAAGAUUAUAAUUGGUUUCAAGGCUUAAAAGCAAAAAACAACAGAGAAGAUUGAUUUGCUUGUUUUCUCCAUGUUUCGCACAGCUUCAGCUAAUUGUCUCAAACCAAAUUAUUCAUUGCUCUGUCAGCGUUGGCUGAAAAAAUUCCUUUUGCUGUUUGUUGUAUGCUCAUCUUCAGCUGUCCUCGGGGUUGUUUGAGCUGUGCUCCGGCCUCAAACUUUCUCCAAUUUAUUAGAUCAAAAU